GGGAAAUAAAUUGCUUUAAUUCAGCCGGGGAUGCGAAGAGCUGCUCUUCAUCAUGGAAGAAGUACACGUUUGCAUUUUUUGUGAAGAAGAUGGAAAAUUUUGUUGUUGCAAUUUGUAAUCUUCCAGUAUCACCUUUUGCACGAAACUGGGGAAGGUGGAGGGAAGAUGGAGAAUGCAUUCCUGCUGCUGCUGGACACCUUUCACCCUGACCUGGCAGCGCUCAGAUUGCUGCUCCUGAAGUACAGAGAGGAAUAAAAUCUGGUGCUCUGGGGGAUGUUCUCCUGGGCAUCAUGCUAAACUCUAGCAGGAUCAGACUGUUGCAUUGAUGCAAGUGAUGGGAAAAGGCGCAGUGAUGUAUUUUAAAUCACUUUAAAGAAGUGCCUAUUGACAGGUCCUUAAUAAAUGCUAAGUAAAUGAAUCUUC